rnacentral:rRNA from 1 species
UACGGAGGAUCCAAGCGUUAUCCGGAAUCAUUGGGUUUAAAGGGUCCGUAGGCGGUUUAGUAAGUCAGUGGUGAAAGCCCAUCGCUCAACGGUGGAACGGCCAUUGAUACUGCUAGACUUGAAUUAUUAGGAAGUAACUAGAAAUAUGUAGUGUAGCGGUGAAAUGCUUAGAGAUUACAUGGAAUACCAAUUGCGAAGGCAGGUUACUACUAAUGGAUUGACGCUGAUGGACGAAAGCGUGGGUAGCGAACAGG